AGGAUUCCAGCUGACCUCUGGCACGGUGUGAGCAGGUCAGGUGUGGUGCAGUGUGAUAGUGGAAUAUGCAUCAUGCGUGACCUCCCUACACAGCACUCUGUAUUUCCGUCUGGAGAUU
rnacentral:precursor_RNA from 13 species